rnacentral:tRNA from 1 species
GGAAGGACAACCCGACGGCUGGCGACGGGGCUGGCUUCGAGUACCAGUGAGUCCCUUGGGGCCUUGUGGGUUCGAUCCCCACUCCUUCCG